AGCGAGAUUAUGUAAUUGGUUAACAUACUAGCCUCAUGAGCUAGAAAUCUUGGUUCAAAUCCAGGUCUCGCUA
rnacentral:tRNA from 1 species